rnacentral:rRNA from 1 species
AUUGAACGCUGGCGGCAGGCCUAACACAUGCAAGUCGAGCGGAGCGGCGGACGGGUGAGUAAUGCCUAGGAAUCUGCCUGGUCGUGGGGGAUAACGUCCGGAAACGGGCGCUAAUACCGCAUACUAUCAUAUGAGCCUAGGUCGGAUUAGCUAGCUGGUGGGGUAAAGGCCUACAAAGGCGACGAAACGUAACUGGUCUGAGAGGAUGAUCAGUCACACGGGAAGUUGUACACGGUCAAGACUCCACAGGGGGGAACAAGUGGGGAAUAUUGGACAAUGGGGGAAAGCCUGAUCCAGCCAUGCCGGGGGUGUAAGAAAGGUCUUCGGAUUGUAAAGCCCUUUAAGUUGGGAGGCGGUACCAGCAGAAUAAGCACCGGCUAACUUCGUGCCAGCAGCCGCGGUAAUUC